UUUUAAGCCUAAGUAUGUCUCAUGCAAUACUUGGGAUAUACUUAGGCUAAAA
rfam:Chlorocebus sabaeus isolate 1994-021 chromosome 5, whole genome shotgun sequence.